ensembl:snRNA U6 U6 spliceosomal RNA
GUACCUAUAGUCAGCGGUACAUAUACUAAAAUUGGAACAAUACAGAGAUGAGCAUGGCCCCUACACAAGGAUGACACACAAAUUUAUGAAGCAUUCCAUUAAAAA